CCCACCCUCUAAUCUCUCGAUGCCCCUCCCUGCAUUAAUCGCUGCUCCCCACCUCGCGCCUUCCCUGCCCGAGCUCUGCUUCCCACCUCGCUCGCCUCGCCUCGCCGGCAGUGAGCGCUCGCCAGAUCCAUGCUCCGCCGCCGUCGAUUCUCGCCUCCACCAGCCAACUACGCCACAUCACGACACGACCUCACAGGCCACCGACGAGGCCUCGCACCUCGACCUCACCGGCUAGCUCGACCCGCCUUGCACCACCAGCUCGUUCCCCCUCGCAUCUACCACCCGGCCGGGCAGCGAGUGCCUCACGGAUCCUCCUUCGAUCCUUCCCACCGGCCAGUUUUUUCAGUCGCCAAGUCGCCCCCAUCGAUUGAAUCUGCUGCAUCCGGGGGUACAUCAGCCAACCGGAGUAUAGGAUUGCAAAAUUCCGCCACUAUUUGGAGCUCCCCAUCCCCAAAUCAAAGGUAUGUGCACUCUGUGCAUUGUCCCAGAUUUGGGCUUUUGUAAUUUUUGUAACGGAAUAUUUCUGUGUAAUUCAUCCAGCAGCCUAAUUAUAAGUGUUUCUUAUGUUGGCGGCCUGGUAUUGUUUUGAAUAUUCAUUUGUUUCAGUAAUUCUCCGUGCUUAGAAUCUACUUGACAAUUAUUGUUCACUUUCUUUUUCCAAUGCUUCCUGCAAUGCUUCUUAUUGUAUACAGAGCAUCCAAGCAUAUGUACACACACAUUGGCGGCAAAUUCGUUAUGUUUCCACUUUUCAAAAUUCCAUGCUUCCAUUGAAGACUAAAAUUGAACCCAUACUGCAUUUUAUAUUGCAUCACACACGGAUGCUUCUAAAUUGGCCCCUUUCUGAUACGGUCGUCCAGAAAAAUGCUUCCAUGCCAAAAGUCACCAACAGAUGCAUCCCCAUCAUGGCAGCAAGCUUACUAAUGCCGGCGUCAUGCACCGUAUUAUCCCGUGGUCAUAUUUUGUGCUUCUGGCAUUCUUUAUUUCAUCUAUAAACAAAUAUAUAUUGUUAUUUCUAGUGUAUUGCUUCAUUUCCUAAGUCAACAUACAGAAAUGCUAACACAUCACGUUCCGUGUUUUCUCAGGUGACACCCAACAAUGACCAAAAAAGAGUUGGUCAUGCUCCAGAGUCGAUAGCAUCACUUGUUUGCUUCAGAGAUUCCAUUCCUCCAAUGUAUCCUAUAUAUGCUUUCACUCUAUUUGGAUCUGGGAAACAAUACCAGUGUCAACCACAACCACGAGCACCAAGCCGGCAAACAGACAUGUGUUUGACUCCUCCGACUCCAUCUUGUCAUCCGCGGAGGCGGCAACGACCCUCCUAGUCGUCUCACCAGCGAUUUCGUCGGUCGUGCUCAGUGCAAGUAGUGCGAUGGAAGGCCGCACUGUCUUCUUCCUCCACCAGAUCAACGGCCUCUUUGGUACCGAUGAUGCUUGACUGUUGAAGCAAUAUUAGUAAAGAUAGGAAGCAAAUAACAUGAAUAUGUGCAUGUAUAUUUGUCUACUGUUGAAGCAGGAAAUGAAAGUAAUGGAACAUAGUUUGUUUAUUUUACUUUUUGACACCGAAGCACCAAAUGAUGACUUGAGAAGCCUCACUAAAUUAUGUAGGAAGCAAAGAAAAUGCUAGGAAAGAGAAACUAGCUGCCAGGAGAAAAAAAGAAGCAUGUGUGGCACUCAUUAAAGCAUGG
rnacentral:lncRNA from 1 species